rnacentral:piRNA from 1 species
UUAUAAUCUCACAUGCGAUGA